GACGAACGCUGGCGGCGUGCUUAACACAUGCAAGUCGAACGGGUCUGCCCUGUUUUUUGCGGGGUGGGUCAGUGGCGAACGGGUGAGUAACACGUGAGUAACCUGCCCCUCACUUCUGGAUAACCGCUUGAAAGGGUGGCUAAUACGGGGUGUUCUGGCUGUGCCGCAUGGUGUGGCUGGGAAAGAUUCACUUUUGUGGUGUUUUGGUGGGGGAUGGGCUCGCGGCCUAUCAGCUUGUUGGUGGGGUGAUGGCCUGCCAAGGCUUUGACGGGUAGCCGGCCUGAGAGGGUAGGCGGUCACACUGGGACUGAGAUACGGCCCAGACUCCUGCGGGAGGCAGCAGUGGGGGGUAUUGCACAAUGGGCGGAAGCCUGAUGCAGCGACGUCGCGUGAGGGAUGGAGGCCUUCGGGUUGUGAACCUCUUUCGCCGGUGAAGAAGGUCCUGCUCUUUGUGGUGGGGUUGACGGUAGCCGGGUUAUGAAGCGCCGGCUAACUACGUG
rnacentral:rRNA from 1 species